UACGUAGGGUGCAAGCGUUGUCCGGAAUUAUUGGGCGUAAAGAGCUCGUAGGCGGUCCGUCACGUCGGCUGUGAAAACCCGGGGCUCAACCCCGGGCCUGCAGUCGAUACGGGCGGACUAGAGUGCGGUAGGGGAGACUGGAAUUCCUGGUGUAGCGGUGAAAUGCGCAGAUAUCAGGAGGAACACCGGUGGCGAAGGCGGGUCUCUGGGCCGUAACUGACGCUGAGGAGCGAAAGCGUGGGGAGCGAACAGG
rnacentral:rRNA from 1 species